GAUGAACGCUAGCUACAGGCUUAACACAUGCAAGUCGCAGGGUAACAUGAGGAAAGCUUGCUUUCCUUGAUGACGACUGGCGCACGGGUGAGUAACGCGUAUCCAACCUUCCCAUAACUACGGGAUAACCCGUUGAAAGACUGCCUAAUACCGUAUGAUAUCGUUUGCUGACAUCAAAUAACGAUUAAAGGUUUAGCGGUUAUGGAUGGGGAUGCGUCUGAUUAGCUUGUUGGCGGGGUAACGGCCCACCAAGGCGACGAUCAGUAGGGGUUCUGAGAGGAAGGUCCCCCACAUUGGAACUGAGACACGGUCCAAACUCCUACGGGAGGCAGCAGUGAGGAAUAUUGGUCAAUGGGCGAGAGCCUGAACCAGCCAAGUAGCGUGCAGGAUGACGGCCCUAUGGGUUGUAAACUGCUUUUAUGUGGGGAUAAAGUGCGUGACGUGUCAUGCAUUGCAGGUACCACAUGAAUAAGGACCGGCUAAUUCCGUG
rnacentral:rRNA from 1 species